CUCCGGGACGGCUGGGC
rnacentral:miRNA from 1 species